ACCCAGCGUCCUUCGGUUGCUGCAAGUUUAUCCGCCAGUGGGUGCUCUGGAAAGCACCUCCGGGGCGGUUGAGUCUGAGGCCACUCAGAUCAAGAUCAAGGUCGUCCGACGCUUUCGGUAAUCGAAGAAUCUUCCCGUGUCAUCUUAGAAGCAGAAAAGCAACUCCUCCGCAGGAGGAAUGGAAUUGGGAAGAAGUGUGUAAGUUCCAAUACCCUGAAGACGAAGGAAGUCUCUAACCUAUGGACAUGCAGAACCCCACAAAAUCAGGAAAGAAGCACAAAGACUCACUAUCUAAGCAGCAGAAACUUGGGAGAUGUUAUGAUCUUUAUGGAAAAUAUACUCAUAGGAAUAGGUAAAAUGGCACCUGCAGCCUAACUCUCAGGAGAAAGGAAAGCAGGAAAAAAGGAAGGGAGGAAGAA